rnacentral:tRNA from 1 species
AAUUAUUUAGCUAAAAGCCAAUAUGACUUGAAAUCAUAUUAUUAAAGAUUAUUCUUUAAAUAAUUU